GAACACAUUAUCGCCAUAUCUAUCACCGUCGUUAUCAGCAGCAGCGAUAGUAGUAUUGUUGGUUUCAUGUGGAAUAUUAAUUCAGGAAUGCGAGGGCCAGGGCCUGGGCCAGCAAGCCAAGGCUUUGCCUCCAGCAGGGGAAACUUGUAACGGGAUUUUCAUUUCCUAUGACUUUCUCAAACGAACCAAAGAAUACCCUCACGUGAAGAAUGUGACGGCGCAGUCCUGGGCCUUCAGUUCCACCGCAUCAGUUCUCAACACAGGUAAAGAAGUGUUUAAGGCAUGGAAGCUGCUCAUAGAGUUUCAACAUGACGAGAUUCUAGUCUCCGUCAGCGGAGGCAAUAUAGAAGAGGCAACCGAGUUCCCCGCUUCGGUAGGAAAUGGCACUACCUUCGUCGGAGCUUCUCAGCCAGACUUGGAUAGCGCAAUCAACACAGCUCAAGAUUUAAGCCAGAUCCAAGCCGUCAUCGACCUUACCGGUACCCAGUUUGGAGUAAAGCCCCCUACGGUUCCUAUGCCAAAAACCAUCAAGUUGGUAAACGAUGGUUACAAAUGCCCCAAACCAACUACCCACAAAAGUUCCAUGUAUGCAUGCUGCAAAAAGGACCCUAAAGCCAAGACUGCAGUUGCUAAGAAGACAAAAUUCUUGGCACGGCAAAAAGGGGAUCUUCUGAUAUCCUAUGACGUUACUCAAGUGUAUGACGAUAAUUAUUUGGUUCAGGUGGUGAUGGAUAACGAACACUUUUUGGGACGGUUGGAUCAUUGGAACUUGACGUGGGAGUGGACAAGAGGGGAAUUUAUAUACUCCAUGAAAGGUGCCUUCACACGUGAGAUAGAGUCCCUAGGUUGCAUCAAUGGCGAGGCAGGAAAGUAUUACGCGGGAUUGGAUUUCUCUAAAGUGCUUAACUGUCAGAAGAAUCCUAUAGUGAGUGAUUUGCCUUCAGAGAAAUAUAACGACAGUGAACUUGGAAAGAUACCUAACUGUUGCAAAGACGGAAAUCUUUUACCCAUCAUUAUGGACCCUAGCAAAUCCAAGUCUGCUUUUACAAUGCAAGUGUACAAAAUUCCACCUGAUUUAAACAAAACGGCAAUUUACCCUCCUGAGAAAUGGCAAAUUACGGGCAUUCUGAACCCACAUUACAAAUGUGGGUUACCCAGAAGAGUGGAGCCUGCUCGAUUUCCAGACACCAGGGGACUCGAAGCAAC
rnacentral:sRNA from 1 species